rnacentral:rRNA from 1 species
GACGAACGCUGGCGGCGUGCUUAACACAUGCAAGUCGAACGGUAAGGCUCCAGCUUGCUGGGGUACACGAGUGGCGAACGGGUGAGUAACACGUGGGUGACCUGCCCUGCACUUCGGGAUAAGCCUGGGAAACUGGGUCUAAUACCGGAUAGGACCGCACCGUGAGGGUGUGGUGGAAAGUUUUUUCGGUGUGGGAUGGGCCCGCGGCCUAUCAGCUGGUGGGUGGGGUAAUGGCCUACCAAGGCGGCGACGGGUGGCCGGCCUGGGAGGGUGGACGGCCACAUUAGGACUGAGACACGGCCCAGACUCCUACGGGAGGCAGCAGUGGGGAGUAUUGCACAAUGGGCGGAAGCCUGAUGCAGCGACGCCGCGUGGGGGAUGACGGCCUUCGGGUUGUAAACACCUUUCACCAUCGACGAAGGGUUUCUGACGGUAGAUGGAGAAGAAGCACCGGCUAACUACGUG